UUGUUAUGAAUUGCUGAUUCUGUUACGGUCAUCUCGAUUGUGAUUUACGGUCAUCUUGGCGAUUUUUUUAAAUCGAAUUUCCUGUUUCAUGCACAUUUCUCGGAAGUAAUUUGUGAUUUCCGUGUGAAUCUUUUAUAAAUUUACAUCGUAUCAAUGUCUCCUUUGUAAAGAAAAUGAUAUAGAAACACUGUAACAGACAAUACAGAUACUGACCUAUUUUUUCAUCCGACAUCUUGGGAUGACCGUGAAUGCAGUUACGGUCAUCAGCUUUACCCCAGUGGUCAUGGCGUUGUC
rnacentral:lncRNA from 1 species